AUAUUAAGGUGGGGUGGGAAUUUCAGUUGCACUGUUAUUAAGGGGCACAGCAUUUGACUUAUCUGCUGACUAGAAGGUACAGACCAAUCCGCAUCUGUGUUACCCAGUGAAUGUACAGGGAGUGGGCUCAAAUGACAAAUAAUAUUGUGGCUUGUAUGUGUGUUCAUUACCCAUAACACUGUUUUAAAGUAUUAGUUUCUUCUGUGUUGAUUUAUGUUUAAAAUAUUUGGUUUGUUCAUUAUGGGUGUAAUAUUUGUUAGCGGAUGCAGCAAAAAUGAAACUUACAUUAGCAGCUGAGAGACAAGAGAACUUAAAACAAAAGGGUGUGAUAAAUUUCUGUACUAUUUCAUUAGAAGGAAGCAAUGAACAGUCUUUGCUAGAAAGUGAAAUCAAGUGGCUUAAUGUAAAUAAUGCAUCAAAAAAUAAAAGUUAAGUGUAAUUAUUCAAAGCAUUGGCAGAAAUCUCUCAUUCAGUAGUCCAGCUUCAAACAGCAGGGAGGAAGAAAGUCUAGAAUGAUUGGUGUGAGGAAAAUUGUGUUGCUUGCACUUAAUCAUACAGUAGGUAUUUUAAGUUGUUAGGUAUGUGAUCUCUUUCCCAGUACUGGAGAUCAAAAUUCUAAGGUAAUGAAAGGUUUUCCUCUGCCUUUCAAACUGAAGACAUUUAAAAGGCCUGAAAAAUCAUUCCAACACCAGAAAUGUAUGAAAGCUGAUAAUGCUCUAUUGGCUCCAGAGGGCAUUCUCUUGGAUAUAUAUAUAUAUGAAAUGGGAAUGGGUUCAAACUGUCUGGCCAUUUUAAUGGCCCUUAUUAUAGGGCAAAGAACAAUAAGCAAUCUUCUGACUAUGAAAGGUUGAUGAAGUUGACUGGAAAAUUGGGGUUGAAGUAUGAGAUAAGUGUAAAAGUGAGAAAGAAAAUUCAGUUCCAUGGUCUUAUGUAUUGCAGAAGUAAUGUUAAGUGAACUUGUUUGAGAACCUGAAAAUGCUAAGUAUGUGAGUUUGAUGUUAAGAUGGAUCUACUAUCAAAGAAGGUAGUGUAGUUGAUUCUAUAUAUAAGAUACAUAAAGAGUGAUGGAGUGAGAGAAGCGUCUGUGUUAGAUUUACAUCUUGAUAGUGAACCGCAGAAGGCUACUUUGAUGCCAGUGUAAAAGAAUUGGGAGAAGCUUGAAAUUUUGGACUGGCUGUUUUCCUGUCAGCUGAUUGGUAUUAAUACUGAGGGUGUAGCCAGUAAGAAACAAUGUAUGGACUGAUACCAAAAACUGCAGAAUAUAUGCCACAUAAUUAGUGUUCAUUGUGUUGUGCAUCAGUUAAAUUAAGGUCAUUAAGGAUUUGAUUCAAUUCUGAAGAAACUGCAUUCAUUCUAUUAGUACUCUCCAGAGAACUGAGUCACAUACAUGGAAGUCCUCUAAACUAUAUACUGAACUUACACUGUCUAUACAGUGUAAUGUAGGUGGCCAGCAAAGGAAGUGCUGCCUCUGCACCUUUGAAGUUUGGAAAUGAGUCAACAGUAUGAUUUGAAAGUAAUCCUGAAAGGAAUGUAUGAGAAUGAACAUCUGCAUGGUUUGAAUAGUACUGCAAGGUCUCCUGUUGAAUCAGAAAGGAAACUUGGCGCUACAUACAGUCAGAUGCUUAGAAGAACAGUUUUUAAAUUGGAAACACAUUGAAUGGUUAACUGCAGUUUUUGUCACUUCUGUCUGGUCAGCAGACUGCAGCAUAGCUCAUUUCUAGAAACACUUUUCACCACCAAAGAGGAAUGGUGACUCUGCUAUCUCUGUAUAAUGACUAGUAUCAGUUUAAGUCAUGGGAAAGGGGGAGAACUGAGUGGGCUUCUUGAAUCAGAACUUGUUACUGAUGGAAGAUGCCCAGUUUUGUAGCAGUUGUUCAUAGUGUUUGUGCUGCCUUUCUCCACUGAGUGUUGUCACAGGGGAUGUAGUUUCACGAAUCUUGUUAAAAAUAAAUUCAUUCUUCAGAUAUACCCCAAUAGUGCUGAAAUUUGAGCCUUCAAAGACUUUUGACCCAUGAUACUUUGGUCCCUAAACUACAGUACACAUGCAUGGCACAAGUAGUCAGAUGAGUAAUUGUGGAAUUGUAUAGUUCAUCUGUUAGUUCAUAUCCACAUAUUUUUUCCUGUAACAUAUUUGUGAAUGAAUUUUUUGUCAUUGUAGAUACAUUGAAAGAUGUUAAUUUAUUCCAUUCAUUGUUGCCACACUCAGUUCUUUUUGUUAGUUUAAAUAUAAAACUCCUGACAAAAAAAAGUUUGUAAAUUUUUGGAUUGACUUCUAGUCCAAAGAGACAUUUGUCAAACUCUGUGUUAACCCCUUGAGCGUGACUUUAAGCGGAGCCAUUUAAAUUCCUAAGCCUGUGCGACGCAACACCUGCGUCCACUCAAACCCCUGCUGUAAGCGUGCGCGCCGCAUAUGUUGCGUCCAAACUUUUCACUAAGAAUUCUUAACACCUACGCUCUGAUGUAUGUACUUCCAGUGAAUGUAUAUGUGAGCUAAAAUUUACUUCUUUCAUUCCUCGCCAUCUGUUUGUGUGUGGUAUUUUUUUCACUCACUUUGCUUGGGACAAAGCAUGUGGUGUCUGCUGCUUAUGAAAGAAUUGUUCCCACUCACACUCCUACUUGCUUUCAGAGGGAUAAUUGUUAGCUAACUUUCAUUGAGUGCUUGUUAUCAGUGUUUAUGUGUCUGUAUUUUUUUACUGGCUUGGCUUACUGGCGACAAAGCAGCUGUGUCUGAUUUACGAUGUUACGAACCUAGGGGUCGAAGUAGCCUGACGCCUGUGUCAACAUUUAUGAAUUUGUUAUUUCUUUUCUGCCUUGCGACACACUCUUAUCGGAGUCCUAGGCAUUUGGUCACGUAACUUGUCUGGUGGGACAGUUUCUUGGCCCUGACGCAAAUGAAACCACGCUUUCAAAAGUGGGUUCCCACAACUACGAAUUAAAUUAGGGUAUUCCUAGGUUUGCUUAUGCUGAUGGGAAUUCAGAAACCAAACCUCAGAAUGUAUUUUAGUAGGAAACAAGGGAAAAAUGUGGUACAAAAAAUUAUUCAACCACUUAGUAAAUACGGCAGUGUUGAAUGGUUACAUUCUGUACUGCAAGGCUGGUAACAAGGAAGAUCAUCUGUUAUUCAGAAUAAACUUAGUGAAUAAGAUCAUAGCAAAGUCCCAUGGACAGAAUUUAGAAAAGCGCAAAGGGCGUUUUUCAGAUAGCGCCGUGGAAUGUACGAGAUUCACGGGUCAGCAUUUCAUUCAACAAAAUCCCAAAACCGGAACUUAUAAAGUUGGAAGAAGAAGGUGUGUGAUGUGUAGAAAAAACAGAAAGAGAAAAGAAACCAGAUACAGGUGUAAAAACUGCCCAGGGACACCGUCUCUCUGCCUAGACCCCUGUUUUGAGCAGUACCACACCAAGGUCAACUACUAGACUCUGGAUAUGGAGAGCUGGGAAAAAGAAAUAGCUUGACAAAAUAUACAGGGCAGAAUGAACUCUGAUCAUCUUCUGACAACUAGUUCCACACAGACCUCUGAUACCAAGUGCACUGAUGAUGUUAGUCUUAAGGGCAUCUACAAACUGUCCCACAGUUGGAUUUUUGUUCAAACCAUACUACGAACGAAUAACUUCAAAUGUGUUCACAAGGUGAUCAUCAAACAGCUGUUGCCAGGUAUUCACCACACCACCCUGAAAGAACAUUAAAAAGGAAAUUAGUGGGCUUCCUUACAUGAUGGACUUGUUCAGAUUUGAAAAUAACGCAUUUUACUUUAAAGGGACUGCCAUUAUAAAGAUUUUGUAUAUUUGAUUAAAUUAUUCCUCAUA